UCUCUACUAAAUCUAAAGAGCAAAAGGGUCACCCGCUUCUCUCAUUUGGGGCCUCGGGCAUCAAGAAGCCCUUUUUUGAAGUUGCCCUCCAGACGAGAGAAUCCGCCCUAUUUUUCUCUAUGAUUCUCAAUCCUCGCAGGUACUAAUCUAGUCAUGUUAUUUUUUUUUUUUUUUUUUUUUUUUUUUUUGCAAUCCUCGUUUGAUUCCCAAGAAAAUCCAUCCCCCAUUCGAUUUCCGAGAAAAUUCAUUCUCGUUUGAUUUAUGAGAAAAUCCAUGCAAAACCCCUAAGGAAACCAAAAAGAUUGCUUUUUUUUUUGCUUCCUAUGUUUUCUCUUUGCAAAACCCCCGUUUGAUUCCUAGGAAAAUCCAUCCCCCAUUCGAUUUCCAGGAAAAUUCAUUCUCGUUUGAUUUCCGAGAAAAUCCAUGCAAAACCCCCAAGGAAAACCAAAUAAAUUGUUUUUUUCUUCUUCCUAUGUUUUCUCUUUGAAAAACCCUCAUUUGAUUCCCAAGAAAAUCCAUCCCCCAUUCGAUUUUCGGGAAAAUUCAACCUUGUUUGAUUUUCGAGAAAAUCCAUGCAAAACCCCCAAAGAAAACCAAAAAAAUUGCUUUUUUUUUUUUACUCCCUGUGUUUUCUGGAUCUGUCCUAGGGGUUUCUUUGCUUUUGUGCCAUUGGAUUUAAAAUUCACGAACCCUAAAUCCACGAUUUUUGAGCUAGGCUGAAAAACACAACCUUUGCUUGCAAAUCAUGAUCAGAUAACCAAAUAGCAUCUUAUGUUUUUUAAAAAAAAAAAAAAAAUUGGACAGAUUUUGUAUCCUGUGUGCGAGCUAGACUAGUAGGAAAUAUCGGGAAAUUUCUCGAAAAAUAGGUAAAAAUACCGAUAAAUACAUGCUUGUUGGGUUUCAAAUCAAAUGGGUUCUUCUUCCAUAGGCACUUAAUUUUGUGGCUUUGAAUGGGUCUUUGCCUCUUUCAAUCAAUUAAAUAAAGGUGUGGAAAUGGUAAUAUUUCAUUUUUUAUAUUUGUUCUUGUUAGUUAAAUUCUAAUAAUCUAUUUUCCUCUUUUGGUAAUGUAGAACAUCAUUGAAUCAAAGGUCAAAGGUCUAGGUGUAAUCUGGAUAGUAGUUUCUUUCCUUUUCUUGGUUUAUGUUUGGGUUUUUCUUUUUCUUGGUUUAUCUUUAGUUUACAAGAAACAGGAGUGAAGUAAAGUAGGUUCUUGAUUUUUGUUUGGUACUUUGGUUUCUCAUUUUCAAACGUACGUUUUUAUCUUUCCUCUUCUGCUUUGUUUGGUUUCCAAGAAAGUGAUCUAGGUUUAAUAUGCACUGUGUUUUCUUUCUUUUUCUCAGUGUCUGUUUGGUUUUCAUGAAGCAGGAAUGAAGUACAGUGUGUUCUUGAUUUCUGAUUGGUUUCCAAGAAAGUGAAGGAAAAUGAUAUGGCUUGUUAUCAUUUUUUUUUCUUCAUGCCAGAAUGAUUAAUAAAAAUGAUAUAUAGAAGGGUUUCACAACUAAGCUCCUUGUUUAUUUUGGUUGGUGUCUUCUGAAAAUUAUCUAAAAUUGUCUCCAAAACAGCUGAGGUGGAAGGCAUGGUUGUGAUUGCCUUCAUAAAUGUUUGACUCAUGAAGAUUUCAGUCAUAUCCUUAUGCAGUAUGUUGCUAAAUUUAUGACUGGAGUAUGCAUAAAGCCCUUGCAUUGAUUUUGGUAAAUCAUAGAGAUACUUGUGAUAUUUCUUUGUCCUUAUGUUGUAGUGAAUUUUUUAUUCAUAUGGAUGGCACAAUACACUCUAUAAACUAAUCAUUCAUUAGGUCAACUGUUGUAUAUAGUCUUUUGUCUUUGUUUUGAUUUUGAGAAUCAUAUUAUGUUGAUCCACAAGCAGCAGAGAAAAGUCUAGGUUGUCUUCCAACCCAUGCAUGUUGUAGGCUUAUAGAAUAUAGUCUAUGUUUUCAUGUUGGCAUAUCGACUUGCUCACUCGCAUAACAAAGUUGUUGCCACCAUAUUUAUUUAUUAAUUUACCCAUCAGAUCCUAUGUUAUGGAGAACUUUCUGGUUGUUCCAAUGAUGUUUUUUUCCCUUUAUCAUCAAGUGUGCUUGACUAUGAACAAAUGUAAAGUUAUUCAAGACUGUUGUAGAAAUUUGAUCAUAGAAAUAUGUUGGUGUAGGCUAAGAAUAGCCUUCAACUUUGAUAGGUUUAGAAAUCAUUUACCUGGAUAGCCACAUAACUCAUAAGCAUCUUGUCAGGGCUCUCUUUGCUGAAAUGAGCAGGUUGAGAGGGGAAAAAAGGUAUAUUAUUGUCAUAGUACUGAUGCAGAACUUAAAAUAUCUUUAGCGUCCCUUACCCCCGGUUGCAUCAUACAACAUUCAAUGGUUCAAAGGCCAGAUGGAAAAUUUAAUUGUUCUUGUUGCCUACAUGUUUGUCUUCACAAAUCACGAAUGACUUCAUUAGCUAGGCAUAUAUAUGAGCUGACAUGACUGUGCACAUGGCAUAUGUUGGAAAAUACAUGUCCAUAUGUUUUCAUAGUGUUAGGAUAAACAUAUACCAAACAAACAAUUUUGUAAAUGAAAUAUCAUUUUAUUUAUUUUAAUUAUUGUCUAUAGAUGUGAUUUCAAUAUACUCGGUGAUUCUUAUUUUCAGUCUUUUCUUUGGUGUCAAAUUAAGCUGGAGUUCCCCACUCCAACUUGUCUUAGCAUUCAAUGUAGGCAUGCAAUCAUGUUUAAAAUAGGUUCCAAGUGUCAUUUUAUCAUUGCAUUUAUUUUCAAAACAAGCUUAAAUGAAAUAUCAUUGUAUUUGAUGUUACGGCGAAGUCUAGGCUACGAAUAUUAACCAACCCUGUAGGGAACUGAAUGUGAAAUUGCAUGUCUAUAUAUGAUGAUAUUAAAUCAUUGUUUUGAGGCUUUCAUUCUAAUUUAUGUGGAUGCAAUUCAGGUUUAGGGGAGAUGAGGCCUGAACAACUUUGGGAAACCACAGUGGAUCCUGAUCAGGGAAGACUGCUAAAGCAAUUUGUUGUCAAGGAGCUAUAAAAGGAAGUGUUGUCUUCUCAUUUCUUAAGGGUGCUUAGGUAAAAUAAAAACAUUUGGCUUUUUAUGUUGUUCUUAUCUAUUCUCAUAUAUAGUUUAAAGAAAAUAUCAUUGUAUUUUUUUAUCUAGAAUUAUAUGAUAUUACUGCCAAGUCCAGGCGACCAAUUAACUAACCCUGCAGGGAACUGAAUGUGAAAUGACUAGUCCAUAUUUUUAUUAUCAUAUUCUGGGAAGCAACGUUGUAUGUUAAUACUUCAUGACUAUGUUGAGCAACUAUUUCAGACACGUGAACAUUGCAGCUUUAGGUUGAAUAUUUUUGUUUUCAAAUUUAAGGAAAAAUAGGUUUUGUACUCCCACUAAAUUAAUUCCUAAAAGAAAUGUCCAAAUGCAUGGGAUCCUUGAGAUACAUAUAUAAUUACCCUUUCCAAGUUGUGCAAGUGGGCUAUGAUGAGAGAGAAAACAUGAGGAUUUCACUAGAAGGAGGGCAUGAGAGUGGGCUUUUAAGGAGGAUUCAUGUGAGCAUCAGAACCUGGAGAACACCUGAGCUUAUUGUGCACAUGGUGGGGAUUGUUGUGAGCAUCGGAUUUUUCUAGAAUGGAGGUUGUUUGGUGCUCAGUUUGUGGAAAAAAAAAAAAAGGUGGCAGAAUGUUCUAGAGUCACAUGGAUUUUUCUAGAAUUGUUGUGCACACGGUGGACAAAAUCAAAAUUUGUAAAGUGGAGAGCAUCAAAACCUGGAGAACACCUGAGCUGAUUGUGCACACGGUGGGGAUUGUUGUGAGCAUCUGAUUUUUCUAGAAUGGAGGCUGUUUGGUGCUCAGUUUGUGGAAAAAAUGAAGGUGGCAGAAUGUUCUAAAGUCACAUGGAUUUAGUGCAUGGUUUUGGCUUGGAGGGAAUAGGAUGAGAAGGUUUUAGAGAGGUGACUAUUAGUGGACAGAUUUGAAUUUUGGAGGGAAUGAAAGUGAUCAGAAUUUUUAAAGGGAAGUCUCUAGAACUUUGGGGAGGACUGAAUACAGUUGGGGAGGAAAAAUAGGGAGAAGUGAAUUUUUCUUCAAGGGAGAAUAUCACACGGCAUAAUUCUUUAGUGGACAAAGCGUGAAACUGAAUUCAGUCUUGAAGAAAGGAGAGAUGGAGCUAAGUGAAAAGAGAUUAUGGGAGAAUUCAGGGCAUAGAUCAGCUUGGAAAAUUGAGAGAACAACCAGAAAUUUGGGAAGAAAAGUUGAACACAGAAUGGUUGUUAAUGGUUGAGAGCAUGAGAUUCGUGGGGUUGCAAGCUGAUUGUGUGUGACUAUUAAUGGUGGAGAGGUAAGUUGAUAGUGCAUGGCUAUGAGACGAAACUCAACAAGCACAUGAUCACACCAUCAGAUUUUGAGACCACUAGAUUCCUAGCACAAGCACUCAUUAGAUUGCUGAAUUUUGAGAAUUUGCAUAAGCUUGUGAAGAACAACACCACCAGCUGAAUUUUGGAGAACACACACUAGCCAAACUAAUGAAGAAGGCACACAUAGUUGCAUAGAGAAGGAGACCACCAGGUUGCUUAUUGAAGCAACACGCAUCAGCCAUUGAAAUACCAUCAACAUGCAUCAGCCAUUGAAGACACCAUUAGCAUGCAUCGGGUUUUAAAGAGAUACAUCACUAAACUUUGAAGAGGAUUUUGAGAUUCGAAGUUUGGGUGUUGGAAAUUUAAGGCUUUCCUAUAAAGUAAUGCUUCAAGAUGGAGGCAAGAGACUUGGUUGUAGAUAUAUACAUGAGCAACUUAAUUUAAGUUUAUGUAUAUUGCCUUAUAGUUUGUUUUUAAUUUCAUUGUAUAUUAUGAGUUUCUUCUAUAUAGAGAAAUUGGGGACAACUUUAAACAAGUUCAUUGAUUUGUGCUUUAAUUAAUAAUCAAAUGUAUAUUAAAUAUGUUUUGAUUAUAUGUAAAAUCAUGAUUAUUUGAUUGUCA